GGCUCGCGAGACGAAAAGCGCCGGCUAAGCUUGUAGAGACUCCGCCAGGGCUUCCGUGGACGCGGGUUCGAAUCCCGCCGCCUCCACCA
rnacentral:tmRNA from 1 species